UUGAAGUUGGUUCUUACAUGUUUAGAAAAGUGUUGCUCCUGGCUAAGUAGGUAGUAGUUAUGUACACUUGUUAUUGUCUGGAUCCUCCCUCUGGAGUAAAAAAAGAGGAGGACGAGUUGUGGGGAAAUGAGGAAUGCUAACUCUGUAAAAUACAAUGGAAUGGAAUAAUGUCUCUGCUCUCUCUCUCUCUCUCUUUAUUUAUCUGAAUCCAUACACACAUCACACACGCCUCCCACUACUAAGCUAAAUAACUUGUACAUAUACAAUAAUGGAGAAUAAUAAUGAUACGGGCUCUCCUUUCAGAUUUCAUUUCAUUUCUUUGCCCUUUCUCUCCUAGAGAAACACUGGGGAAAAAGAGGCUGAAAAAGGCUUUGAAAACUCGAAAAGAAAGGACUCUUCUUCCUCUUUCGGCCCUCUCAGUCUCUACUCACUACUUCUCUUCACUCCUUACUUCUCUCCUCUCACUCCCUCAUACUAGCAUACACUUUUUUUUUGCUCAUUUAUCGAGCCCAAUUGGCAAUCGGAUUUCACCUCAGCUCAAGAGUCAACACUUUGAAAAAGAAAAACCAACAAGUUCCAUCACAACUCACAUCUGACAUCCCUCUCACUUCUCUGUGUAUAACGAUAUCAUCUUGCAAUUUGAUGCAAGAAGAUUGAUUUAUAAUAUUUAAUUAAUAUAUAUAUAUAUACCAACAAAUUGAAUGGUUUGUCCAAGGAGUGACGAUGACAAUAAAUGAAAUAAAAGGA
rnacentral:lncRNA from 1 species